rnacentral:rRNA from 1 species
UGGCGGACGGGUGAGUAACGCGUGGGUAACCUGCCCUUUUCAUGGGGACAACAGCUGGAAACGGCUGCUAAUACCGAGUAAGCUCCAAUGACCGCAUGGUAAUUGGAGGAAAGAUGGCCUCUGCACAUGCUAUCGGGAAAGGAUGGACCCGCGUCUGAUUAGAUAGUUGGUGAGGUAACGGCUCACCAAGUCGACGAUCAGUAGCCGGCCUGAGAGGGUGGCCGGCCACAUUGGGACUGAGACACGGCCCAGACUCCUACGGGAGGCAGCAGUGGGGAAUCUUCCGCAAUGGGCGCAAGCCUGACGGAGCAACGCCGCGUGAGUGAAGAAGGCCUUCGGGUCGUAAAGCUCUGUCUUUAGGGAAGAAUAGCAGGUAUGUGAAUAAUGUGCCUGUGUGACGGUACCUGAGGAGGAAGCUCCGGCUAACUACGUGCCAGCAGCCGCGGUAAUACGUAGGGAGCGAGCGUUGUCCGGAAUUACUGGGCGUAAAGGGCGUGUAGGCGGGAAUUUAAGUAAGGUGUGAAAACUCCGGGCUUAACCUGGAGACUGCACUUUAAACUGGAUUUCUUGAGGGCAGGAGAGGAAAGUGGAAUUCCUAGUGUAGCGGUGAAAUGCGUAGAUAUU